CACCUCUAGCUAAGUACACAAAUAUUAGAGGCAAUGCCUGCCCAGUGAAAAUUUUUAACGGCCGCGGUAUUCCGACCGUGCAAAGGUAGCAUAAUCACUUGUCUUUUAAAUCAAGACUAGUAUGAAUGGCAAAACGAAAGCUUAACUGUCUCCUUUAUUUAAUCAAUGAAAUUGAACUUCUUGUACAAAAGCAAGAAUACACAAAUAAGACGAGAAGACCCUAUGGAACUUAAACCACACUACCAAUUUAAUUUAUAAAAUCUUAAACACUGGAUCUGUUGGUUUUGGUUGGGGUGACCACGGAGCAAAACAAUCCUCCGAGAUAAUAUAACUAAGAUACACAUAACAAAGUAUUAAAAACUUAAAACCUUGACCCAAUACAUUUGAUAAACGAACCAAGCUACCCUAGGGAUAACAGCGCAAUCUUCUUUAAGAGUCCAUAUCACCAAGAAGGUUUACGACCUCGAUGUUGGAUCAGGAUAUCCAAACAGUGCAGCCGCUGUUAAUGGUUUGUUUGUUCAACAAUUAAAAUCCU
rnacentral:rRNA from 1 species